rnacentral:rRNA from 1 species
ACGGAAGGCAGCAGUGAGGAAUAUUGGUCAAUGGGCGGAAGCCUGAACCAGCCAAGUCGCGUGAAGGAUGAAGGUAUUAUGUAUUGUAAACUUCUUUAGCCAGGGAGCAAUAGUGGCCUCGUGAGGCCUUAUGGGAGUACCUGGAGAAUAAGGAUCGGCUAACUCCGUGCCAGCAGCCGCGGUAAUACGGAGGAUCCGAGCGUUAUCCGGAUUUAUUGGGUUUAAAGGGUGCGCAGGCGGCCUGUCAAGUCAGUGGUAAAAUCGUGGGGCUCAACCCCAUCCUGCCAUUGAUACUGCCGGGCUUGAUUGCGGUUGAGGUUGGCGGAAUUCGUUGUGUAGCGGUGAAAUGCAUAGAUAUGACGAAGAACUCCGAUUGCGUAGGCAGCUGACCAAGCCGUAAAUGACGCUCAUGCACGAAAGUGCGGGGAUCGAACAGGAUUAGAUACCCUGGUA